AAUUCAGAGAUGGAUUUGUGCCUUCGGGAACCGUGAGACAGGUGCUGCAUGGCUGUCGUCAGCUCGUGUUGUGAAAUGUUGGGUUAAGUCCCGCAACGAGCGCAACCCUUAUCCUUUGUUGCCAGCGAUUAGGUCGGGAACUCAAAGGAGACUGCCAGUGAUAAACUGGAGGAAGGUGGGGAUGACGUCAAGUCAUCAUGGCCCUUACGACCAGGGCUACACACGUGCUACAAUGGCGCAUACAAAGAGAAGCGACCU
rnacentral:rRNA from 1 species